CCCAUUUCCCCCUCCUGCUUUUUCUCUUCUAUCUACCUUUCCUCGAGCCUCCCGACCCACCCUCUUUACCCCUUUCACUGCCGAUUGAAGUUUGGUUAGACGUCACCCAUUGCCGAAUCAACCCCUUCGUCGCCAAACCCACCCUCCCCGCCACCGAUUCCAUCGAUUUGAACCCAGAUCCAUCACAGAUUUGUAAUCUAGCUGCCAAGUGUGUUGACUGCCGCUGGCCCAAAUGAGGUUUUCACUAAUCCAUCGACUACCCCAUCAAGAAUUUUGCCGAUAAACUAUCGACGAAAUAGUUUCAUCAUCAACCACUCUUCCCAGUGAUAGAUUGGUUAAUUUAUUGACAGAAUGCUCGACAGAAUAUUUUGUUCGAAAAUAUUGCAGCAGAUUGUUCCGCCACCCACGAAAUGAACAUUAUUGACAAGGGUAUUUCCGCCCAUGAGCCAACAGAAUUUUUUGUCGGUACUUUCGUCAGUGUAUUAGAACACUGAUGAAUUCUAACGCUUUACUGAUAGAAUAUUCUAUCAGUAAAUCUCUUUUUUUUUUUAUAAUGGUACUCCAAUCUCUUGGAGUUCCAACGAAACAUAAGACAGUAGUCAAGUCUUCUUAGAAAUUGAAUAUCGAGCUAUUGCAAUUGUCAUUGCAGAAGCAACAUGGAUUCAAUCUUUCCUUCAAGAAUUUCAGAUAGUUUUGCCUAA